UUAGCCAAUAUAAUAUGGCAACAGCUAGCAAUGAAAACGGCGCUUAUCGUCUAACUAUUCAGUACUUCUCAAUUAUUAAUUGACAUUAUAAUCAAAGGCCGACUGUUAUUAAAUUUUUUCACUGAAGUAAUUAAGGUAGCUCAUAUUUUUCAAUUAAUUAAAAGCAAUUAUAUUCCUAACGUUAAAUAAUCAUUAGAAAAAUUGACGCUUAAAAGAGUUUGAUGCGUUUUAAAAUAUCAAUGGAGUUUGUAUUUAUUUAAUCAAAGAACAGGAACGUGGCUUUUUUUCCCCCACUAAUAACUAUAGAAAAGCAACACUUAUUAAAGCUUGAGUUGACGUACAUCGGUACAUAUGUAGACUAAUGAACUCAUUUGCCUGUUUGUUGUGUUGUGUGGCUGUGUGUGUGAGCACGUCGCCGUAUUGUGCAAAGCCAAAUAUCAACAACCUAAAUACUACCUUACACGGUAAUGCGCGCACUUUAAAUAAUUGACCAUUACAUAGUAAAUAGUAAAUAAACAUAUAAUUGGAUCCUGCAUCUUCAAUUUUGUGUCUUGUUAUUGACGUUAUUUGAUAAAAUGCAAUGCUGAGAAUAUUUACCACUAUUAGUAAUUAUGGUUGGUUGAAUAAAAAAAAAAAAAAAAGGGUUAGGUGAGCGAGAAAGGAGAUGAUAAGCUAGGAGAAUGAGAAUUACCUGAUAGAACAGGCUGGAUGCCGUUGAGAAUUACGGAUAAAGCAAGAAAAGGGCUGAGUUCAGCAACGGAGUCGGCGACGGUGAAGCCGCCAGUGAAGGCAUAGCUCAAGACAUUGCGCAGUAUGAGGACAAGAAUGGCCAGAAUCACAGAGAGUGCGAGUGAAAUUGAAGUUACCACAAUCACUGAGAACUUACACGAUUUUGGAUGUGCUGCACCCAACUCAUUGCCCACCCUAACACUGUACGUACGUGUGUAUUUCACCAAUUCAGCGCAAAUAAUUGUAACUAAUUAGUGGAAAACACUAAUCAAUUACGUACCUUGCUGCCGCAUUGAAACCCACAGCAAUCAUGAACACCCAUCCAGCAAUCGUCAUGCUGCAUUAGUGGACACAUGUAAUAGCAUGCGGUUGCAUUGAAUUACUUUGGCAACAUGAUGCCGAUGAGCAUAUUAAAGAGAUUAAACAGACAAAUAAUUCGUAUCUUACCAGAUGGAGAGAGAGUCGAGCACAAUUUCAGCAUUAUCGAGCAACCCAGCAAUCAAAACAAUGAUCUGAUAGUACCAAAUCUCGAGGCACAGCAUUACAGCCGAUGCUGUUGACAAUUUCAGGAAGUCCCACAGCCCAGAAAACGCCUGUAAGCUAAACCCAGUCCAUGUCUUUUUGCACCUUUCACUCAACAAAAUGUACACGAAUUGUGCCGCCACUAUAAUCCACCACGACAAACUUAACACCAACGAUGCCCCUAGAAGUCCCCAGCCUAGCUUGAAAAUCGCAACCCAACUUAGGAGCACAUGCACCACAAGUGUUGCCGCUGAGAUGUAUGCACUUGGCGAGAUUAUGCUUUGUGCUUGUAGGAACUUUUGUAUGGGGAAAUUGACGGCGUAGGCAAAUAUCUGUGGGAUUAGACCGAAAACGAAGAUUGCUGCUGCUGAUGCAAUGGCACUUGAUUCCCCUAGCAGGAGCAAGAUUUGUUUUGAGAAUAUGUAGAUGACCAUGAGUAGUAUCCCAGUUGCCGUGAGUAUGACUGCCGAUCUUUGAAGAUAAACGCCUAGCAUGUCGUACUUCUGUGCCCCGUAAGCUUGGCCACAUAAAGUUUCAGUAGCGCUUCCCAUUCCCAACUGUGUAAAAAUAAUAUUUUAAUUGUAAUUGGACAGUAAUUAUAUAUAUACACACACAUAUAUAUACAAUUACGUACCAUAAGGCCAUAGGCGAAAACUUGGAUGCCAGUGUUGCCAAGAGAGACGGCAGCGAGCUCAAGAUUGCCAAGAUGGCCGCAAAAGAUCUGAGUGGACAUGGCGACAAGGUUAUUGAGCAUGUAAACCAAGAUUGCUGGGGCUGCUAGGCGGAAGAGGUUUUUGAGUUCGAUCCAUGUUGCUUUCUUGAUUCUCUGAAAGAAUGACAAGCUGUCGUCCGACAGAGCUUCUUCAAGCUCAGAACUCACUGGCUCGACCUCCGACCCGUUGCUUUGCAACAUGGGUUCAUGGACAUUAUUAUUAUUAUCAGUGUUGGAGGAAUCCAUGUAAGUUCCUUCGCUCUUGUGAGUCUUGUCUCUCAACUCUCAACACACACGCAGCUACCUCCCCGUUAAUUAUUUAUAUAUAUGUAGGCGAUAUAAUAUGGCAUCUGCCACUUAACUUUCAAAGACAUACAUAGAAAGUUAGGUUAACACAAUAUGAAUAUAUGGCAAACGGGGAAAACUUCAUUUCAUUACAUACUGAUCGAUACAAGUGGAAAAAUCAUAUGAUUAUUUGAUAAGACAUAAAAUAUUAGGGAUUCAGAUGUAAUUAGCGUUAGUCUUACGUAAGAGAUUAUGUUUUUGAAUUUUGAGUUGUCAAUUAACAAAUAAACAAAAAAGGUGUUCAAUUUGUUGUCACCUCAAAGUUCCCAAUCAAUAUUCAUAUAUUGUUAGGUAGGUUACGUGUCAAAAUAUAUACUUUGCUGAACGAGAUUUUAUUUUUAUUUUUAAAAGAAAACGUGAAAUUUUUUUUUUUGGUCUUCUUCUAAUGCAAUUUCACAAAAAAUUUUUAAAUCUAGUUGCUUAAUUGUUUUUAUGUUCAUAUAUAUUUUUAUCAAUUGCACACAGAUCUUCAAAAACUUGGUCUUCAAUUAUGUAAUAGUUGUAAAAGUAAUUAAUCUCUUAUCAUACGUAUGUGAUUAGUCUGAAAAUUGAUCUCAUCUUGGCCCAAAAAAAAAAAAAUUAGAACAAAAAAGAAACAAGAAGGGAAAUUCUUUCGACUAAUUAUUUGCAACGAUUUCUCUACCUUUCUUUUUUUUUUUUUUUUUUUUUGGGUGCCAAUAUUCACAAAAUGUUAAGAAAAUGAAGCAUUUCCGAGAAAGCAGAUGAAUUUGGAAGGAAAGCAAGAAGCCAUUAUUAAUGCUCAAAAUGGUGAACAUCAAUAGAAUUGAUUGGAAAAUGUUGUCAAAAAUGGGAUACCAAUCAGGUAGUAACAUCCCAAGUUAACAUAAGCAAUAAAAGCUUGCCAUCCGAACCCAACAGCUACUCCUGGUGUCGUUUAAUAUAGGGAAAAUAUCCACCGUCCACCUGAUUUUGUCCAUUUUUUUAAAAAUACACAAAUCUUAAUUUUUUUAGCUGCGCUCCACCUGAACUUAUAAUUUUUUUCACAUUUCCACCUCCGUUUGCAAACCGUCAAGACGUUGCUGACGUCAUAAGGCUAAAAUGAUAAUUUCACUUGGGCUUAAAAAACGACGUCGUUUAAGAUCUGUAAUAAGCAAAAAAAAAAAUUAUUUCAGUUUCAAGAACCCAAACAAAAGCUUUGAUAAACUCGAAGCUCAAAGCUUAAUUAUUCUCUGGUCUCUACUCACCACAUUCGCAUUCAUGGCUGCACAAGACACACAAAUUGAGAGCGAAAAUAAAGACUCAAAAGAACCCAAAAACCUGUUCGCACACUUUACAAACUUAUUAUUUUCUGCUCCAAUAUUUAAUAAUAAGCAAGAGAGAAAUAAAAGUGAAGGUGAAGAAAGAGAAGCUGCAGAAGCAAGCAAGAAACGAGAGGUGGUGAAAUUUCCGCUUUUAAAAAAAUAAACAAAGAAAGAAAGAAAAAGCAAAGGCAAAGCCAAAAUCUUCUACUCUGAAAGUCAUCGACCGUAGUCAUGGCGGAAAACACAGAAAUCGCUUCCAGUCCCAGAAAACAAGAAAACAAAAGCAUACUCUCGCGGUUGCCGAAAUUCCAACUCAAUCUCCCUUUCUUCUUUAAUCAACAACCUAAGAAAGCAGAAGAAACUGUUGUUUCUAAAGGGACUGCCAAAACGUCAACGGUUAGUGAAGCCGAUGAAGGUAUGCUAGUAGUGUGAAGCCGAGCUUGGCUAGGUUUCCGGACGCCACGCGUCCGAUUCUUUCGCCGCAGAUUGAGCUCGAGGCCGAAGAGCCCGCCAGGCGGACUUCCAAUCCUGUCCUUCUCUGGCAGGUUCGCUUUCUUCCGUCUGUUCCUGUUUGGCUCCCGAGAAAAUGUGGGGUCCUUUUGUGUUGCGAGAUUGCGAGAUUGCGAGAUUGCGAGAUUGCGAGAUUUUAUAAUAUUUGUUUAAAAAAUAAAAUUUUUGAAAGGAUUUAAAGAUUUUCAGUUUUUAUUUAGGGCUACAAUACUCACAAAGCUAAUAUUUUGACGUUUAUUUAGGGUAAAUAUGUAAUUUUUUAUUUUUGGGAUUAAAAAGUAAUUUGGACAAAAUUCCGUUAGUUUUAUUGACGGUUUGCAGACGGAGGUGGAAAUGUGAAAAAAAUUAUAAGUUCAGGUGGAGCGCAGCUAAAAAAAUUAUGAUUUGUGUAUUUUUAAAAAAGUGGACAAAAUCAAGUAGACGGUAGAUAUUUUCCCUUUAAUAUAUCACAUCAAUUGCAGUAGCGUUAAUUAUUAAUGAUUUGAAUUUUGAAGCCACAACAAAUUAAUUAUGGGGAAAUGGAGAGGAAGAGCUGGAGCUAUGUAAUAAAUAUAAUAUGGCAACAGCUAGCAAUAAAAACGACGUUUAUCGUCUAAUUAUUUAGUACUUCUCAAUUAUUGAUUGACAUUAUAAUCAAAGGCCGACUGUUAUUAAAUUUUUUCACUAAAGUAAUUAAGGUAGCUCAUAUUUUUCAAUUAAUUAAAAGCAAUUAUAUUCCUAACGUAAAAUAAUCAUCGAGAGCAAAUAAUCAGUAGAAAAAUUAACGCUUGAAAGAGUUUGAUGCUUUUUAAAAUAUCAAUGGAGUUUGUAUUUAUUUAAUCAAAGAACAGGA
rnacentral:lncRNA from 1 species